rnacentral:lncRNA from 1 species
ACAGGCUGCCAGCUGUGUUUCCUCAGCUGCAGUGCAAGUGGGGCAUGCUCCGUUGAGACUUUAUUCACUCUGGGCAGUUUGUUGAAGAUUAGGUGGUCAGCUCACAAUGAAUCAUAAGCUGCUUUUGUCCCUUGCUGUCUAUGCUUAGAAGCUAAAAGGUUAAGCAGCGAUGUCAGCGCUAUCAGGGAGCUGUGGAGACUGGAAUUGAAGUUCAGAACCUUUCAUGGGAGACAGCUCAGCAAAGGAUUUCCUAUGUGAGUUCCUGAUCCCCUUCUGUUCUGACCUGGUAGUCACACCUGUCAACAAGGUCCGCAAGUUCUGGCCUUUGGAUUCUGGCAGAACAUCAAAACUGGUUUCUGAUAACUUUGGAGAUUGGGACAUUGGAAUAAAGGAAAAAUGUACAGGACUCAUGAAGAGCUUAAAUGUUCACGAAUAUCAAGCUAAACAAGAGUUAACUAAAUGGACUAAACUCACAGAAAAAUGAAGCCAUCUUUUUUACUUUUGUUUGGAAUAUUGCUGAUUCUUGUUUUGUUUUUUAGAGUCAAUAAAAUUUAUUUUGAACUAUU